rnacentral:rRNA from 1 species
UGGGGAAUUUUGGACAAUGGGCGAAAGCCUGAUCCAGCAAUGCCGCGUGUGUGAAGAAGGCCUUCGGGUUGUAAAGCACUUUUGUCCGGAAAGAAAUCCUUGGCUCUAAUACAGUCGGGGGAUGACGGUACCGGAAGAAUAAGCACCGGCUAACUACGUGCCAGCAGCCGCGGUAAUACGUAGGGUGCAAGCGUUAAUCGGAAUUACUGGGCGUAAAGCGUGCGCAGGCGGUUUGCUAAGACCGAUGCGAAAUCCCCGGGCUCAACCUGGGAACUGCAUUGGUGACUGGCAGGCUAGAGUAUGGCAGAGGGGGGUAGAAUUCCACGUGUAGCAGUGAAAUGCGUAGAGAUGUGGAGGAAUACCGAUGGCGAAGGCAGCCCUCUGGGCCAAUACUGACGCUCAUGCACGAAAGCGUGGGGAGCAAACAGGAUUAGAUACCCUGGUAGUCCACGCCCUAAACGAUGUCAAGCUAGUUGUUGGGGGAUUCAUUUUCCUUAGUAACGUAGCUAACGUGUGAAGUUGACCGCCUGGGGAGUACGGUCGCAAGAUUAAAAACUUAAAGGAAUUG